UGGGGCUGGGGGCUUAUGUAUGGGAGCCCUGGAAAGGAAACACUGGCAAACCUGGAGAGACAGAUCUAUGCUUUUGAAGGAAGCUACCUGGAAGACACUCAGAUGUAUGGCAAUAUUAUUCGUGGCUGGGAUAGGUAUCUGACCAACCAAAAAAACUCCAAUAGCAAAAACGAUCGAAGGAACCGGAAGUUUAAGGAAGCUGAGCGACUCUUCAGUAAAUCCUCAGUUACUUCAGCAGCUGCAGUAAGCGCUUUGGCAGGAGUUCAGGACCAGCUGAUUGAAAAGAGGGAACCAGGAAGUGGGACAGAAAGUGAUACUUCUCCAGACUUCCACAAUCAGGAAAAUGAGCCUAGCCAGGAGGACCCUGAGGAUCUGGAUGGAUCUGUGCAGGGGGUGAAACCUCAGAAAGCUGCUUCUUCUACUUCCUCAGGGAGUCAUCACAGCAGCCAUAAAAAACGAAAGAAUAAAAACCGGCACAGCCCGUCUGGCAUGUUUGAUUAUGACUUUGAGUAUGUAUAUUAGGUUAGGCUGGGAAGUUUUUUUUAAAAACAGAAAAACGUGAUGGAGGAUUGAUCUGAAGUUAAACAAAAAACCACGAGCCGACUAUUAGAAGACUCAUUAGUGCAGAAGCCUCCAGGCUUUAGAGCCCUGCUUCCCUCCUCUGACCUCACAAAGAUAAACAUCCCUCACCUGAGUGUAUGGCCAUCCACUUCUGCUUUCCCAGACCCAGUGCCUGUGACUCUGAGUAGUUUGUUCUGAAAUGUGGUGACAAAGAAGUCAUUUCCGUAAGACCACGUCGGAUCAUUUACUUUGUGUCAUUUUUAGUAACAGAACUGCAGGAAGACCAAGACAUGGUUAUAAUCCCAGCAAGUUGCUAACUGAAUCUCUCCCUUCUUGGAAUGAAUGUCUCCCCCAAACUGGCUGGCACCAGCUUCCUGUGUGACACUCAUCGAGAAAUGGUCUCUGCUUUUGUUUUAUGCUGAAAGUAGAACAGAGGUCACAUUUCAGAGGGAGGCUGUAAAUACCUGAAGUUUUCUUAUUUUGUUUGUGUUUUAUCAUUUUUCUAUUGUUGUUUUUACCAUCUUAUUUUCUUUUGGGACUUUUUGUAAUGCCUUUGUACAGCUCAUACCUCCCACUGACGUAGCUGAUGAUCCUUUUUGCGGAGUUGCCAGUAUGCUUACCUGAGAGCAGCCUGGUUUACCAUAAUUAAAUGGGGAACCUGACCCUUUGGGUUUUUUUGCAGGGGAAAGGUAAAAAGUGUUUAUUUAAUAAUUACCUAUCUUAAAUCUCUGAGUCGGAAGCAGUUUCAUGUUCGAGGAAUAGGAAAGCUGAAAGACAUAAAUUUAAAUCAGUCCUUUUAAAAUAUUUUUAUUCUUUUGUAUAAAUAAAAUUUCACAGGCUUUGCCUUCUCAUGCUUUACUUUUAAACCUGAGAUUGUGUUUUCACUUAUUUAUUUGUAUCAUGCUUUAUGGAAAUUUCUUUCCUUGCCCAUCUUUUCUCUCUUUGCUGGUAUUAGCCUGAUCAAAUAUUGCUCUUAAAAUCAUUAAGGCAUGUGGAAAGACUCAAAGUUGUACCCAGAGCUGAUAACCUAUGGAGUUCUUGAGCAGAGUGAAAGAUAGGGACGAGAGCCAGCGGUGCCGGCAGAUGCCCCUUCCUCGUGGGAGCGACGGACUGAGGAACUCGCUGAUGACUGUUACCUGCCUGGAGCAGUGGUGGUCUACCUUCGCUACACAUUGGAGUCACCUGAGAAGCUUAACAAAUACUGAUGCCUGGGUCCCACCCCCCAGAGACUCUUGACUAGGAUACAAUCUAGUUAUGGGCAUUUCUUUCAAAGAGUCCCCAGGGUUCCAAUAGGAAGCCAGAUUGGGAACCACUGCGUUAGGAGACAGGAUGGUGUGAUUUACAUCCUUUGUAAUGAAUGAGUCUAAGAGAUAAGAUUUGGGGCCUCACCUUUUGUUUGACUCUUUAGUCAUAGUCCUUUACUUAUGCCCAUAUCUUUGUUAGAAAAAAAUGUUCCAUUUGUGAUAAUAUUGAUAGAGCUGAAUAUGGGUGGUGUCUAUUAUCAGAACAAUUCUACCUUGUCUGAUGUGCAAAAGCUUUCACUCUUGUUCUCAAAUAAACUUUGUUUUGUUUUGGA